AUGAACGCUGGCGGCGUGCCUAAUCCAUGCAAGUCGAGCGAACAGAUGAGGAGCUUGCUCCUCUGACGUUAGCGGCGGACGGGUGAGUAACACGUGGAUAACCUACCUAUAAGACUGGGAUAACUUCGGGAAACCGGAGCUAAUACCGGAUAAUAUAUUGAACCGCAUGGUUCAAUAGUGAAAGACGGUUUUGCUGUCACUUAUAGAUGGAUCCGCGCCGCAUUAGCUAGUUGGUAAGGUAACGGCUUACCAAGGCGACGAUGCGUAGCCGACCUGAGAGGGUGAUCGGCCACACUGGAACUGAGACACGGUCCAGACUCCUACGGGAGGCAGCAGUAGGGAAUCUUCCGCAAUGGGCGAAAGCCUGACGGAGCAACGCCGCGUGAGUGAUGAAGGUCUUCGGAUCGUAAAACUCUGUUAUUAGGGAAGAACAAAUGUGUAAGUAACUAUGCACGUCUUGACGGUACCUAAUCAGAAAGCCACGGCUAACUACGUG
rnacentral:rRNA from 1 species